AAGUCGUAACAAGGUUUCCGUAGGUGAACCUGCGGAAGGAUCAUUGCUGGAACAUGUCGCGGCCUAGUGCCGCACUGAUCCAUCUCUUUCUCUAGGUGUGGCGGCACCGUAAACGCGUCGUGUGGGUUAGCUUGCUUUGCGUCUUGGUCGCAUUCAAUGCGAACCAUUCUUACAACUUGUAGCACUGGAUCCCUUGGCACGU
rnacentral:misc_RNA from 1 species